GGGCUCGACGUCUAGUGGGACAGCUCUGCGGCGAGGAGAAAUUGGCUGGCCGCAGUCUGCGCGGGGCGCUGCAGACUCGAGGUGGGGCUUCUUUGGAGGCAGCUGAAUCUAGAGUUUGUGAUUGAUUCAUGGUACAAUGCUGGGAUUAAGGCCGAUGGGACUAAAGCUAGUGCUGGGCAUCAAAAGGAAGGAUCGUGCCUGUAAGACAAGCACUCUACCACAAAGCUACAUCCCUAGCCCAGAAUUUCUAACUUCUAAUUUCAUAUUAUAUCUGUUGAUCAUCACAGUUUUGAGAUUAUUUUCAUUACA